rfam:Nomascus leucogenys chromosome 9, whole genome shotgun sequence.
GCCAGACGCGGCUGUAGUCUCAGCUACUAAGGAGGCUAAGGCAGGUGGAUCACUGGAGUCCAGGAGUUCUGGGCUGUAGUGCGCUCUGCCGAUCAGGUGUCUGCACCAAGUUCGGCAUCAAUCUGAUGUCCUCCAGGAAGACCGGAGCCACCAGAUUGCCUAGGGAGAGGUGAACUGGCCCAGACUGGAAAGAGAACAGGUCAAAACUCCACUGCUGAUCAGUAGUGGGAUUGUGCCUAUGAAUAGCCACUGCACUCCAGCUUGGACAACCUAGGCAGAACCUACCUCAA